UGGUACAACACCGUUACGCUUACACGACGACGUCCGGCCGGUCCCAGUGCUGGUAGUGGACAGCCAGUACAUAUACAAAGUCGUAACGGGGGUCGCCGACCCCAUGGACAACACCGACAUGUGGGAAAUAAUCUUUUCCCAAUUAGCAGAGUUCGGCCAGCUCCCGCCGAUCAAGCACACCCAAUCGCACCAGCCCGACACCGACCCCGUCCACGCUCACAUCGAACAAUACCUGCAAAGCCCUCGCUGCACGGUAGCCGUGGCCCCAGCAACGCCCAACAGCGAUCACCUAGCCCAGUGGCUUCGCGAGUUCUGGAACCACCCAGGAAAGCGCAAGGCGCGUGCUCGCUGGAAACAGACAGGGGGACAGAGCAGAGAAGUCCGACCCGAAGCCUGGGAUGAAGCAACGCGUCGCUGCCUCGCUUGCAGCCGCGACAAACCACAGCACAGCGUUAAGUACGAAAAGCACGCCUACGAUACAUCGCCCUUCGCUCCCGGUCAAGCGUGGCAAACAGACCUCCUCGGUCCGCUCCCAGAAACUCGCCGAAAACCCAAGGGUCUCGUCGUAGUCGACUUAGGGACACGCCAACUAGCUGCAAUACCACUCUCAAGGUCCUGUGCCCAAGACGUUGUCCACGCACUCCACCAAGUAGGACAGCGGUGGAAGUACCUGCAACAAAUACAGUCCGACGGCGGACCGCCGUUUAAUAGUUGCCAGCUCGCUAAAUUCGCGGCCAAAGACAACAUUAGCUGGCAUCUUCAUUUGCCGUACCACCUGCAAAGCAAUGGCGUCGAUGCACGCUCCAUUGGACCGUUAAAAGAAAAGCUACGCCUUUGCGGAUAUGGAAGCUAUAAAGGCUGGGACACGCACCUUCCGCAAGUGUUAAGUUCACUAAAUUUCGACAAAGUGUUAUGGGAACCCCGUAAUCCGGUCGGACUGCCGCCCUGGAAACCUGCCUAUGAGCCCGCCAUGCUCGUGGGGGUGACAAUCCCCACCCACAAGGAUUCCAGUCCGACCCCCGUGCCGGGGCACGUUAUCAAGCCCGGCACUUAUCCCCACACUUACGUUUGUGAGCUGAAGGGACAGUCUAAAUCCCGUUUAGUGCAUCACAACUGGCUUUCUAGGCGCUUUGAGCAAUUAUAGUAGUGUUGUUGCUUUGACUUCAGUUACUUGUUGCUGUUGCUUUGUUACAGGUAACCAGAAAACUACCGGAAGACUACCGCCAUGAGUCUCCUCAUCGCUGUCCUGACCCUGUUAGCAAACCGUACCCCCGUUCUGUCGUUGCGGAGGGACAACAACACCUUCGUUCACCUCUUGCAACGGGUUGCCGGUGAGUGCCUCACAGUCGAAGGGGGCAACGAGAUCGAGGCCGACGACACCGACUACCGAAUCUGUUUCCCGCGCCUGCAAAGCGCCAAUGACUUAAGCUCAUAGUUUACCGCGAGCCGUCCCAAAGUAACCUCAACAUCAGGUUUAGAAAAGUUCAUGAACACCACCUCGUGCCUAGUCGCCC
rnacentral:lncRNA from 1 species